rnacentral:rRNA from 1 species
AACGAACGCUGGCGGCAUGCCUAACACAUGCAAGUCGAACGAGACCUUCGGGUCUAGUGGCGCACGGGUGCGUAACGCGUGGGAACCUGCCCUUGGGUUCGGAAUAACAGUUAGAAAUGACUGCUAAUACCGGAUGAUGACUUCGGUCCAAAGAUUUAUCGCCCAGGGAUGAGCCCGCGUAGGAUUAGCUUGUUGGUGAGGUAAAAGCUCACCAAGGCGACGAUCCUUAGCUGGUCUGGGAGGAAGAACCGCCACACUGGGACUGAGACACCGGCCAGAAUCCUACGGGAGGCAGCAGGGGGGAAUAUUGGACAAUGGGGGAAAGCCUUAUCCAGCCAUGCCCGGUUAGGGAUGAAGGGCCUAGGGUUGUAAAGCUCUUUUACCCGGGAUGAUAAUGACAGUACCGGGAGAAUAAGCCCCGGCUAACUCCGUGUCAGCCGCCGCCGUAAUAC